CGUUGACUGAUGAAGUAUUUCGGUACGUAAAGUUCUUUUAUUAGGGAAGAAAAGAUGGUGGAAAAACCAUUAUGACGGUACCUAAUGAAUAAGCCCCGGCUAACUAUGUGCCAGCAGCCGCGGUAAUACAUAGGGGGCAAGCGUUAUCCGGAAUUAUUGGGCGUAAAGGGUGCGUAGGCGGUUAAAUAAGUUUAUGGUCUAAGUGCAACGCUCAACGUUGUGAUGCUAUAAAAACUGUUUAGCUAGAGUUGGAUAGAGGCAAGUGGAAUUCCGUGUGUAGUGGUAAAAUGCGUAAAUAUACGGAGGAACACCAGAAGCGAAGGCGGCUUGCUGGGUCUUAACUGACGCUGAGGCACGAAAGCGUGGGGAGCAAACAGGAUUAGAUACCCUGGUAGUCCACGCCCUAAACGAUGAGUACUAAACGUUGGAUAAAACCAGUGUUGAAGUUAACACAUUAAGUACUCCGCCUGAGUAGUACGUACGCAAGUAUGAAACUUAAAGGAAUUGACGGGACUCCGCACAAGCGGUGGAUCAUGUUGUUUAAUUCGAAGGUACCCGAAAAACCUCACCAGGUCUUGACAUGCUUUUGCAAAGCUGUAGAAAUACAGUGGAGGUUAUCAGAAGCACAGGUGGUGCAUGGUUGUCGUCAGCUCGUGUCGUGAGAUGUUGGGUUAAGUCCCGCAACGAGCGCAACCCUUGUUGUUAAUUGCCAUCAUUAAGUUGGGGACUUUAGCAAGACUGCCAAUGAUAAAUUGGAGGAAGGUGGGGACGACGUCAAAUCAUCAUGCCCCUUAUGACCUGGGCUACAAACGUGAUACAAUGGCUGUUACAAAAGAU
rnacentral:rRNA from 1 species